UCUUAUCAUUUUCCCCAUCAGGUGCCCGCAAUGCCUCGUGCAGCCUUCCCUCUAGGAAUGGCUUUGAAGGCUGAGAAAUUAGCAUUCUUUUUUUGGGAGAGGUUCCUCCUGGUGCAGGCAGCCCCAGCGCAAUCCUUUGAAGGUUGUGGCCCGCAAAAGACGGGGCUGAAUUGUGUUAUAAAGCGUCUGAGAAAAUGUCAGGAAUCUUUUUUUUGUGGACGAUCUCUCGUCUUUCUCUGUUUCCGGGUUAUCUGAAAGACCGAUCAGGAAACUGCGGAUCGACAAAAGAUUCCAGCGAAGAACAAAUGAAGCCAGUACCAGGCUUUGAGCCCUAAUCACUCUACCCAGACCUGUGACUGUUCUCCAUUCCCAUAGAGAAAUUUAAAUCCUUCCUAGAAGCUCAUUCUCCCAAGUGCGGUACUUUGUAAAAGUCAGACUGAAAUACUGCAAAGGGUUGUGCCUACCUGAAUGGAAGGGCAUGUCACAUUCAUCUUUUGAGACAGUCACAGGGGUGAUAAACAAUCUGGUUAGCUCCAAUUAUACGCAUAAAAGGGCUUGUCAAGUUUCAAAAUGACAUUUACAAAAAAACACUCUAUAAAGCCUCAGUUAAGUUCUCCUGGACACCCUCAAAAGGCUGUUAAAGCUUGCACAGCAGUACCCAGCACCACUGUAUUCAAGGCCUUCCAAAGACCCUUAAUCAACAGUCAUUUGUUAGACAGUUGUGACAAUCGCUGGGCCAUGACCCCAUGGAAUUACUUACUGCUCACACAAUAAAAUGAACUCUUAAAAUCC